rnacentral:rRNA from 1 species
CUUACAAGCUGUGGAAGCACAUUUCUUGUGUGACCGCGUACUUUUUGUAGAACGGGCCAACGAGUUACGUUAAGUAGCAAGGUUAAGCACUUAAGGUGCGGAGCCGUAGCGAAAGCGAGUUUUAACUGAGCGUUCAGUUACUUGACGUAGACCCGAAACCGGGCGACCUACCCAUGAGCAGGAUGAAGCGAAAGUAAAAUUUCGUGGAGGUCCGAACCCACGAGCGUUGAAAAGCUCGGGGAUGACUUGUGGGUAGCGGUGAAAUUCCAAUCGAGCCCGGAGAUAGCUGGUUCUCCCCGAAAUAGCUUUAGGGCUAGCCUCAAGGUGAGAGAUACGGAGGUAGAGCACUGAAUGUCCUAGGGGGUAUUGCACCUACCGAAGACUAUCAAACUCCGAAUGCCGUCAUCUUAUACUUGGGAGUCAGACUGUGGGUGAUAAGAUUCAUAGUCGAAAGGGCAACAGCCCAGAUCGUCAGCUAAGGUCCCUAAAUGUAAGUUAAGUGGUAAAGGAUGUGGGAUUGCACAGACAACCAGGAUGUUGGCUUAGAAGCAGCCACUCAUUCAAAGAGUGCGUAAUAGCUCACUGGUCGAGUGAUCCUGCGCCGAAGAUUUCCGGGGCUAAAACUUACUACCGAAGCUACGGCAUCAGUAAUGAUGGGUAGGGGAGCUUCCCAUACGGGUUGAAGCAUGACCGUAAGGACAUGUGGACAGUAUGGGAGUGAGAAUGUUGGCAUGAGUAGCGAGAUGUGGGUGAGAAUCCCACAGGCCGUAAACCCAAGGUUUCCAGGGGAAGGUUCGUCCGCCCUGGGUUAGUCGGGACCUAAGCUGAGGCCGAAAGGCGUAGGUGAUGGACAACAGGUUGAUAUUCCUGUACUACCGAUAACCGUUUGAGAGAAGGGAUGACACAGUAGGAUAAGCUAAGCACACUGUUGGUUAUGUGUGCCCAAGCAUUGAGGCAGUCAAAGUAGGCAAAUCCGCUUUGAUAAUGCUGGGAUGUGAUGGGGAGCGAAAUUUAGUAGCGAAGUAGCUGAUUUCACACUGUCAAGAAAAGUCUCUAUCGAGGUUAAAGGUACCCGUACCGCAAACCGACACAGGUGGGUGAGGAGAGUAUCCUAAGGCCAGCGAGAGAACUGUUGUUAAGGAACUCGGCAAAAUGACCCCGUAACUUAGGGAUAAGGGGUGCCACCAUCAGGUGGCCGCAGAGAAUAGGCCCAAGCGACUGUUUACCAAAAACAUAGGUUUCUGCUAAGUCGCAAGACGAUGUAUAGGAGCUGACGCCUGCCCGGUGCUGGAAGGUUAAGGGGAUCUGUUAGAGCAAUCGAAGCAGUGAACUUAAGCCCCAGUAAACGGCGGCCGUAACUAUAACGGUCCUAAGGUAGCGAAAUUCCUUGUCGGGUAAGUUCCGACCCGCACGAAAGGCGUAACGAUUUGGGCACUGUCUCAACAACAGACUCGGUGAAAUUGUAAUUCCGGUGAAGAUGCCGGAUACCUGCGACAGGACGGAAAGACCCCAUGGAGCUUUACUGUAGCUUGACAUUGGGUCUUGGUACUACAUGUACAGGAUAGGUGGGAGGCUUUGAAACCAGGACGCCAGUUUUGGCGGAGCCAUCCUUGGGAUACCACCCUUGUAGUACCUGUCUCUUAUACACAUCUCCGAGCCCACGAGACCGAGGCUGAUCUCGUAUGCCGUCUUCUGCUUGAAAAAAAAAAAAAAAUAAAAACUAGCCUCUGGAAUAGGU